rnacentral:rRNA from 1 species
AUUGAACGCUGGCGGCAGGCCUAACACAUGCAAGUCGAGCGAGCGGCGGACGGGUGAGUAAUGUAUGGGAAACUGCCCGAUUGAGGGGGAUAACUACUGGAAAAGGUGGCUAAUACCGCAUACCAUCAGAUGUGCCCAUAUGGGAUUAGCUAGUCGGUGAGGUAAUGGCUCACCUAGGCGACGAUACCUAGCUGGUCUGAGAGGAUGACCAGCCACACUGGAACGUAGACACGGACCAGACUCCUACGGGAGGCAGCAGUGGGGAAUAUGGCACAAUGGGCGCAAGCCUGAUGCAGCCAUGCCGCGUGUGUGAAGAAGGCCUUGGGGUUGUAAAGCACUUUCAGCGGGGAGGCGUUACCCGCAGAGGAAGCACCGGCUAACUCCGUGCCAGCAGCCGCGGUAAUAC